UACGAAGGGGGCUAGCGUUGUUCGGAAUCACUGGGCGUAAAGAGCGCUUAGGCGGCCAUGCAAGUCAGGGGUGAAAUCCCGGGGCUUAACCCCGGAACUGCCUUUGAAACUGCGUGGCUAGAGUUCGGUAGAGGGUGGUGGAAUUCCUAGUGUAGAGGUGAAAUUCGUAGAUAUUAGGAGGAACACCGAUGGCGAAGGCAGCCACCGGGGCCGAGUCUGACGCUGAGGCGCGAAAGCGUGGGUAGCAAACAGG
rnacentral:rRNA from 1 species